rnacentral:rRNA from 1 species
AUGACAAGCGUGACCAAAAAUCAGUUUGGUUUCAUGCCUGGGAGGUCGACCAUGGAAGCCAUUUUCUUGGUACGACAACUUAUGGAGAGAUAUAGGGAGCAAAAGAAGGACUUGCAUAUCGUGUUCAUUGACUUGGAGAAGGCCUAUGAUAAGAUACCGCGAAAUGUCAUGUGGUGGGCCUUGAAGAAACACAAAGUCCCAGCAAAGUACAUUACCCUCAUCAAGGACAUGUACAAUAAUAUUGUGACAAGUGUUCGAACAAGUGAUGUCGACACCAAUGACUUCCCGAUUAAGAUAGGACUGCAUCAGGGGUCAGCUUUGAGCCCUUAUCUUUUUGCAUUGGUGAUGGAUGAGGUCACAAGGGGUAUACAAGGAGAUAUCCCAUGGUGUAUGCUCUUUGAGGAUGAUGUGGUGCUAGUUGACGAUAGUCGGACGGGGGUAAAUAGGAAGUUAGAGUUAUGGAGACAAACCUUGGAAUCGAAAGGGUUUAGGCUUAGUAGAACUAAAACCGAGUACAUGAUGUGCGGUUUCAGUACUACUAGGUGUGAGGAGGAGGAGGUUAGCCUUGAUGGCCAGGUGGUACCUCGGAAGGACACCUUUCGGUAUUUGGGGUCAAUGUUGCGGGAGGAUGGGGGUAUUGAUGAAGAUGUGAACCAUCGAAUCAAAGCCGGAUGGAUGAAGUGGCGCCAAGCUUCUGGCAUUCUCUGUGACAAGAGAGUGCCACAAAAGCUAAAAGGCAAGUUCUACAGGACGGCGGUUCGACCCGCAAUGUUGUAUGGCGCGGAGUGUUGGCCGACUAAAAGGCGACAUGUUCAACAGUUAGGUGUGGCGGAGAUGCGUAUGUUGAGAUGGAUGUGUGGCCACACGAGGAAGGAUCGAGUCCGGAAUGAUGAUAUACGAGAUAGAGUUGGGGUAGCACCAAUUGAGGAGAAGCUUGUCCAACAUCGUUUGAGAUGGUUUGGGCAUAUUCAGCGCAGGCCUCCAGAAGCUCCAGUGCAUAGCGGAUGGCUAAAGCGUGCGGAGAAUGUCAAGAGAGGGUGGGGUCGACCGAAUUUGACAUGGGAGGAGUCCGUUAAGAGAGACCUGAAGGAUUGGAGUAUCGACAAAGAGCUAGCUAUGGACAGGGGUGCUUGGAAGCUUGCUAUCCAUGUGCCAGAGCCAUGA